UGGCGAACGGGUGAGUAACACGUGAGUAACCUGCCCACAACUUUGGGAUAACGCUAGGAAACUGGUGCUAAUACUGGAUAUGUGCUCCUGCUGCAUGGUGGGGUUGGAAAGCUCCGGCGGUUGUGGAUGGACUCGCGGCCUAUCAGCUUGUUGGUGGGGUAGUGGCCUACCAAGGCGGCGACGGGUAGCCGGCCUGAGAGGGUGACCGGCCACAUUGGGACUGAGAUACGGCCCAG
rnacentral:rRNA from 1 species